UACGUAGGGGGCAAGCGUUGUCCGGAUUUAUUGGGCGUAAAGAGCGUGUAGGCGGUUCGGUAGGUCCGUUGUGAAACUCGAGGCUCAACCUCGAGACGCCGAUGGAAACCAUCGAACUAGAGUCCGGAAGAGGAGAGUGGAAUUCCUGGUGUAGCGGUGAAUGACGCAGAGUAUCAGGAAGAACACCCGUGGCUAAGGCGGCUCUCUAGUACGGUACUGACGCUGAGACGCGAAAGCGUGGGGAGCGAACAGG
rnacentral:rRNA from 1 species